rnacentral:lncRNA from 1 species
GUUUUAUUAAGUUGUAUUGGGUUUUGUUAAGUUGUAUUUGUUUUUUAAGUUGUAUUGGGUUGUAUUAAGUUGUAUUGGGUUUUGUUAAGUUGUAUUGGGUUUUAUUAAGUGGUAUUGGGUUCUGUUAAGUUGUAUUGGGUUUUAUUAAGUUGUAUUGGGUUCUGUUAAGUUGUAUUGGGUUUUAUGAAGUUGUAUUGUUUUUUAAAGUUGUAUUGGGUUUUGUUGUUUUGAAUUGGGUUUUGUUAAGUUGUAUUGGGUUUUAUUAAGUUGUACUGGGUUUUAUUAAGUUGUAUUGGG